rnacentral:rRNA from 1 species
CGGACGGGUGAGUAACGCGUGGGGAACCUGCCCUGUACAGGGGGAUAACACUUAGAAAUAGGUGCUAAUACCGCAUAAGCGCACAGUAUCGCAUGAUACAGUGUGAAAAACUCCGGUGGUACAGGAUGGACCCGCGUCUGAUUAGCUGGUUGGCGGGGUAACGGCCCACCAAGGCGACGAUCAGUAGCCGGCCUGAGAGGGUGAACGGCCACAUUGGGACUGAGAUACGGCCCAGACUCCUACGGAAGGCAGCAG